UGCCUUUAAUUAAACUCGCGGUAAAGAGACAAACCACGCGUCCUCCGUUAUUCUCAUUCUCCGAACUCCAAAAUUAAAACCACAAAACACCAAGAUCACAUCAAAUCGAAAUCCUUCUUUUCUUCGUUCAUGGAUCCCACCAAAACCCUCGCCUUCAACACAAUGCCCGCGAAAACCCUCGUCGCUUGAUCCAAAUCCUCCCCUUUCCUCAUAUGGGUUUUGCUUCUAUAUCCUCUCCGGCCCCAAUACCUCCCAAAAUCGCUCCUUUUUCCUCGUAGAUGGAUUAUUACAAGACCCUGGGAUUGAGUAGAAACGCCACCAAGGAGGAGAUCAAGGAGGCUUUCAGGCGAUCCGCCCUCAAAUUCCACCCGGACAGGCACGCCCAGUCCUCCAAGGAGGUCAGAGACGGAGCCUCGCUUCAAUUUAAGCAGGCAUCCGAGGCGUAUGAGGUCUUGAUUGAUGAUCGGAAGCGCGCCGAUUAUGACCGUGGGCGUCGAGGUGCGUCGUUUGAACGGUGGAGCUGCGGGCAGGCUUCUUCAUCCUCUUAUUAUUAUGGAGGGCGCCAGUACGGGUAUGGUGGUGGUGGCGGCGGCUACCGUCGCCCUCCGCCGGGGGAUGGUGGGUUGGGAUUUGAUGUGGAGUCCGUGUUUCGGUUCCUGACGAGGCGAGGGUUUCUUGUGAAUAUUGCAUUCGCAAGGCUAAACUGCUGUGGACUGACCUGGCUGGGAGCUGCCACAUUACCCUCAUUUGAAAAUAGAAACCUUGGGUUACAAGAUGCCCAUGAGGUUUUGAGUGGGUCCUGCUUUUGUGGGAAUCAGGGUGCCAAGCUGCUGUGCUGAUGCCCCUCCAGCAAUGGUUAUAUAGUAAUUGACAAGCGGAAGAGCUGUAAAGUUCCUAUCUCUGGCUCAACAAAUCAUUUGAAGAAGCAAUGGAAUCAAUUGAAAAGGCAAAAGUACGAAAAGAGAACAGUUGAGGCUGGAAGAACACCAGCGGAAACGGAAAAACGGUUAGCGUAAAAAGUUCAAGAACUGCACAUUCCUUUAAUUCUUUUGUCUGAUCAUCUCUAUCAGGCUGUUUAAAAUGUGCAUAUCAGUCUUCACUGAAAUUGCUUCAUGGUGUUCUUGAAGUGUAACUUUCCUUUGGGAAUUACAGCAAGCAUUUUGUACCAUGGAGAUAGUGGAUACGCAAAUAAUUCUUACAAGUUAUUCAUGUAAAGAUUCAAACCAUUGAUCAGUUAAAGCUUUAUUAAUGGCUAUAA